rnacentral:rRNA from 1 species
GACGAACGCUUGCGGCGUGCCUAAGAAAUGCAAGUCGAGCGAGCUCAAGCCUUCGGGCGGAAAGCUAGCGGCGAACGGUCGAGUAACACGUGAGCAACCUGCCCCAAAGCGGGGGAUAGCCCACCGAAAGGUGGAUUAAUACCGCAUGUGGCCGUUCCGGGGCAUCCCGGGACGAUUAAAGCAGCAAUGCGCUUUGGGAUGGGCUCGCGGCCUAUCAGCUUGUUGGUGGGGUAACGGCCUACCAAGGCUACGACGGGUAGCUGGUCUGAGAGGAUGGUCAGCCGGAUUGGGACUGAGACACGGCCCAGACUCCUACGGGGGGCAGCAAUUAGGAAUCUUGCGCAAUGGGCGAAAGCCUGACGCAGCAACGCCGCGUGAGUGAGGAAGGUUUUCGGACCGUAAAGCUCUGUCCUCAAGGAAGAUAAUGACGGUACUUGAGGAGGAAGCCCCGGCUAACUACGUG